AGAGUUUGAUCCUGGCUCAGAUUGAACGCUGGAACGCUGGCGGCAGGCCUAACACAUGCAAGUCGAGCGAGAAAGCACUUCGGUGUGAGUAGAGCGGCGGACGGGGGAGUAACGCGUAGGAAUUUGCCCAGUAGUGGGGGACAACAUGUGGAAACGCAUGCUAAUACCGCAUACGCCCUACGGGGGGAAGCAGAGGAUCUUCGGACCUUGCAGGUCCGAAGAUCCCCUGCGUCGGAUUAGCUAGUUGGUGGGGUAAAGGCCCACCAAGGCGACGAUCCGUAGCUGGUCUGAGAGGAUGAUCAGCCACACUGGGACUGAGACACGGCCCAGACUCCUACGGGAGGCAGCAGUGGGGAAUAUUGGACAAUGGGCGAAAGCCUGAUCCAGCCAUGCCGCGUGUGUGAAGAAGGCCUUAGGGUUGUAAAGCACUUUCAGUAGGGAGGAAAAGUUAGUCGUUAAUAACGGCUAACCCUGACGUUACCUACAGAAGAAGCACCGGCAAACUCCGUGCCAGCAGCCGCGGUAAUACGGAGGGUGCGAGCGUUAAUCGGAAUUACUGGGCGUAAAGCGCGCGUAGGCGGUUAAUUAAGUCUGAUGUGAAAGCCCUGGGCUCAACCUAGGAAUUGCAUUCGAUACUGGUUAUCUAGAGUAUGGUAGAGGGAAGUGGAAUUUCAGGUGUAGCGGUGAAAUGCGUAGAGAUCUGAAGGAACAUCAGUGGCGAAGGCGACUCUUUGGACCAACACGACGCUGAGGUGCGAAAGCGUGGUAGCAAACGGGAUUAGAUACCCCGGUAGUCCACGCCGUAAACGAUGUCAACUAGUCGUUGGGCCUAUUAAAAGGUUUAGUGACGAAGCUAACGCAAUAAGUUGACCGCCUGGGGAGUACGGCCGCAAGGCUAAAACUCAAAUGAAUUGACGGGGGCCCGCACAAGCGGUGGAGCAUGUGGUUUAAUUCGAUGCAACGCGAAGAACCUUACCUACCCUUGACAUACAGAGAACUUUCUAGAGAUAGAUUGGUGCCUUCGGGAACUCUGAUACAGGUGCUGCAUGGCUGUCGUCAGCUCGUGUCGUGAGAUGUUGGGUUAAGUCCCGUAACGAGCGCAACCCUUAUCCUUAGUUGCUACCAUUUAGUUGGGCACUCUAAGGAGACUGCCGGUGAUAAACCGGAGGAAGGUGGGGACGACGUCAAGUCAUCAUGGCCCUUAUGGGUAGGGCUACACACGUGCUACAAUGGCCGGUACAGAGGGCUGCUAACUCGCGAGAGUACGCUAAUCCCUUAAAGCCGGUCCUAGUCCGGAUUGGAGUCUGCAACUCGACUCCAUGAAGCUGGAAUCGCUAGUAAUCGCGGAUCAGAAUGCCGCGGUGAAUUCGUUCCCGGGCCUUGUACACACCGCCCGUCACACCAUGGGAGUGGGUUGCAAAAGAAGUGGGAUCGAACCUUCGGGAGGGCGCCUACACUUUGUGAUUCAUGACUGGGGUGAAGUCGUAACAAGGUAACCA
rnacentral:rRNA from 1 species